GUCUACGGCCAUACCACCCAGAACACACCCAUCAGUCUCGCUGUCUCGGAAGCCAAGCAGGGUCAGGCUUGAUUAGUACUUGGAUGGGAGAAAGGAAGAAACAGCUGUGAACC
rnacentral:rRNA from 1 species